rnacentral:rRNA from 1 species
GACGAACGCUGGCGGCGUGCUUAACACAUGCAAGUCGAACGGAAAGGCCCUGCUUUUGUGGGGUGCUCGAGUGGCUAACGGGUGAGUAACACGUGAGUAACCUGCCCUUGACUUUGGUAUAACUUCAGGAAACUGGGGCUAAUACCGGAUAGGAGCUCCUUCUGCAUGGUGGGGGUUGGAAAGUUUCGGCGGUUGGGGAUGGACUCGCGGCUUAUCAGCUUGUUGGUGGGGUAGUGGCUUACCAAGGCUUUGACGGGUAGCCGGCCUGAGAGGGUGACCGGCCACAUUGGGACUGAGAUACGGCCCAGACUCCUACGGGAGGCAGCAGUGGGGAAUAUUGCACAAUGGGCGGAAGCCUGAUGCAGCAACGCCGCGUGCGGGAUGACGGCCUUCGGGUUGUAAACCGCUUUCGCCUGUGACGAAGCGUGAGUGACGGUAAUGGGUAAAGAAGCACCGGCUAACUACGUG